rnacentral:sRNA from 1 species
GCCAGGCAUGGUGGCGCACGCCUGUAAUUCCAGCAGCUCUGGAGGCUGAGGCAGGAGGAUUGAGAGUUUUAGGUCAGCCUCAGCAAUUUAGUGAGGCCCAAAGCAACUCAGUGAGAACAUGUCUCAA